rnacentral:rRNA from 1 species
UACGAAGGGGGCUAGCGUUGCUCGGAAUCACUGGGCGUAAAGGGUGCGUAGGCGGGUCUUUAAGUCAGGGGUGAAAUCCUGGAGUUCAACUCCAGAACUGCCUUUGAUACUGAGGAUCUUGAGUUCGGGAGAGGUGAGUGGAACUGCGAGUGUAGAGGUGAAAUUCGUAGAUAUUCGCAAGAACACCAGUGGCGAAGGCGGCUCACUGGCCCGAUACUGACGCUGAGGCACGAAAGCGUGGGGAGCAAACAGG